rnacentral:rRNA from 1 species
GCUCAGGAUGAACGCUAGCUACAGGCUUAACACAUGCAAGUCGAGGGGAAACGACAUUGGAAGCUUGCUUCCGAUGGGCGUCGACCGGCGCACGGGUGAGUAACGCGUAUCCAACCUGCCCACCACUUGGGAAUAACCUUGCGAAAGUAAGACUAAUGCCCAAUGACGUUGAAAGAAGACAUCUGAUUUCAACUAAAGAUUCAUCGGUGAUGGAUGGGGAUGCGUCCGAUUAGCUUGUUGGCGGGGUAACGGCCCACCAAGGCAACGAUCGGUAGGGGUUCUGAGAGGAAGGUCCCCCACAUUGGAACUGAGACACGGUCCAAACUCCUACGGGAGGCAGCAGUGAGGAAUAUUGGUCAAUGGGCGAGAGCCUGAACCAGCCAAGUAGCGUGCAGGAUGACGGCCCUAUGGGUUGUAAACUGCUUUUAUAAGGGAAUAAAGUGGGGCUCGUGAGCUCCUUUGCAUGUACCUUAUGAAUAAGGACCGGCUAAUUCCGUGCCAGCAGCCGCGGUAAUACGGAAGGUCCGGGCGUUAUCCGGAUUUAUUGGGUUUAAAGGGAGCGUAGGCCGCAGGUUAAGCGUGUUGUGAAAUGUAGGGGCUCAACCUCUGCACUGCAGCGCGAACUGGCUUGCUUGAGUACGCACAACGUGGGCGGAAUUCGUGGUGUAGCGGUGAAAUGCUUAGAUAUCACGAAGAACUCCGAUUGCGAAGGCAGCUCACGGGAGCGCAACUGACGCUGAAGCUCGAAAGUGCGGGUAUCGAACAGGAUUAGAUACCCUGGUAGUCCGCACGGUAAACGAUGGAUGCCCGCUGUUGGCUUGAAUUAGUCAGCGGCCAAGCGAAAGCAUUAAGCAUCCCACCUGGGGAGUACGCCGGCAACGGUGAAACUCAAAUGAAUUGACGG